rnacentral:lncRNA from 1 species
UUUUUUUUUUUUUUUUUUUUUUUGUUUCUAGAUCGAGUGAUUGAGACUUUUAAGAAGUGCUUUUGAAAUAAUUAAGAAUAUUUUGAGAAGACCAAAAGUAAUUUUGACUAUAUUUAGCAGAAAAAGUUAAGGCAAGCAUUAACAUUUUUUAUGUGCUUCCAUCAAAAACACUUGUGAAAAGAACUGUUCUUUACAUUGAACGCUGUUGGCAAGAAAUUGUUUAUUUGGGCAGUUUCAUUGCCUCGUUUUCAUACUAAUUUAUGUGCUAUAAUUAAUAGUGGUGAAAUACAUGAGUGUAUUAGUGACACCACGUAAUGAGAUUGUGAGUUCAGUUCAUUCUUAUAAUAAAGUCCUCUCCUAUAUAUUGAGGAUAUGUUCUUAAGUAUUUGGGAAAAUCGUCAAAUUUAAUACACACAUCAAAUAUUGGAGAAACAAAUUUUCAAAUAUUGGAAAAAAGAUUUUAAUUUUUAUAUUGAUAUUGAUACUCUGAAUAUGGUUUAUUCUUUCAAUUGUUUGUAGGUCCAUGGAUUACUGAAGCAGCUCUACUCAGCUUCUUCGUCAAAGAAUCCGGUGAACAUUGGAGAGUGGGUUUUCAUCACCGUAGCCAACAUUACAAGUAACCUUACAUGCAGUAAGAGCCUUUUUGAAUACACAACAAAGGAAGGGAGAGAAAUGAAAGAAUCAUUAAGAGAAUUAAUAAAACUUCUUGGCACGGGAAAUGUUGCUGAUUUCUUCCCAUUAUUCAAGCCCUUUGAUCCUCAAGGGCUCAAGCGGAGAACAUUGGAGAUCUUUUGGAAAUAUGAUGCUUCGUAUGAGAAACUUAUUGACGAGAGGUUGAAAGAGAGGGAAAUUGGAAUCAACAAUAAUACUAAGAAGGAGAAAGGGGACAUGUUAGAUGCAUUGUUGAACUAUAGAAGUGAUAAAGAUGUUGACCUGAGAACGCUUUCUAGAAACAUGAUCAAAAGCUUGCUUUCGGUAAGUCAAUAUAUAAGCUUGAUAUACAUUGUUGGCCCAUUGUUUAAAACAGUUUUAGCUUUUGAGUCCGGUGGCUGUAGGCUUUUGGGACUACUGAUUGUGUAACAAAUCAAACCUAUUUGAAAUUGAUUCAUUUUAAGAAAUUAAGAAUUGUCUUGAUUUUGAUUUUGUAGGACAUGUUCAUUGCAAGCACGGAGACAAGCACAAGCACUGUUGAGUGGGGAAUGGCAGAGAUCCUAAAAAACUCUGAUGUACACAAGAAAAUAGUUCUGGAAUUGGACCAAGUUGUUGGAAAGGACAGGUUUGUUGAAGAAAGCGACAUUGCGAAUUUGCCUUACCUUCAAGCAGCAGUGAAAGAAGUUUUCCGACUCCACCCAGCAGCCCCACUCAUUACUCGUCGCUCAUACGAGGCUUGUGAGGUUUCUGGGUAUCAUUUUCCUAAGGAUUGCGUUGCGGUGGUGAACAUUUGGGGGAUGGCUAGAGAUCCAAGCAUUUGGGAAGAGCCUUGCAAAUUCAAACCAGAAAGGUUUAUUGGUUCGAAGAUUGAUGUGAAAGGCCAAGACUUCAAUCUACUGCCAUUUGGGUGUGGGAAAAGGAUCUGUGUAGGAUGGCCGCUUGCUCAUCGCACGGUGCAAUUUUACUUGGCAGCAUUUCUCCAUGCCUUUGAGUGGGAAUGCCCUCCUGAAGUCGUGGACAAUAUGGAAGAAUUUGUUGGGAUUACAAUUCAAAAGGCCAAGAGUAUCAUCGCCAUUCCCAAACCUAGACUCUCAACUUCUGUUUACAUGUAAUCUGUGAUAGCUAGUGUUGCAUCAUUAGCCUGUCAAAUUAAAUAAAUGUUAUUGGACGUAUAAUCUUAUAAAAAAAGUUUUCAAAAUAAACAAGGGAUUUGACAAGUUCCAGGGGCAUAGUGAAAAUCCCCAUAGCCUCUUCGAGUCAAAAAUGAGUAGAUAAAUGUGACUUGUCAUCAGUUGUCCUCAUUUUUUAGAAAAAAAAAAAGAAGUUAAAUUCAAGUGAUUAGAUAUGUCUUUCUGAAAGUGGUGCCUCUUAACAAAGGGUGCAAACAAAGUGAUGAUAUGACGUUUCUGAAGGGUUGUUUGGAUUUGGAUUUGGAUCCUAAGGAUCAAAAAUCGUGCAUUUCCAAUUAAAUGUUUUUUAUAUUUUUCAAAGUAAAACAACAUCGUUUUACAUGAAAAAUAUAAAAAAAGAAAAAAUUGUGACCGCACGAUUUUUUAUCAACGGUCCGUAUUCGUUGAUCCUUAGGAUCCCCAGGAAAGGAAUCCGGCGAGGAUCCAAAUCCGGGUUGUUUAACAUAAUCAGAAUGGGGCACUUAAACCUCUAUAAAUGGAGGACAAGCUUUAGAGUUUUUUCUCACUUACUUCCCUAUAAAAUCUCGUACAGGUGUUAUAAGAAAUAACCUUCUAACCUCUCCAUCUUUUCAUUGAAAAAUAAAAGUGAAUGUUAACCAAACAUGGUUUGGUGAUGGGGGCAGCACUAUCUGCAAUGCAUAUAUUACAUCUAUAGGGUUCAGUUUAUGUCCCUCAACCUUAAGCAAUAGACUGUGUCCUUGAUUGUUAAAAAUAUGUUAAUAGUUAAUCGUCUUUGGUCAAAGUGUCUUCAUGUGUCGUAUAUAUUGUUAGUUUGUUACUGUAAAUUGUCAAUUCGUAGUAAAACACGAAGUAGUUGAGUUUGUGAUAUUCAUCUACUAGGAUAUCCUUAGAUAAUGUUAUCACUGAGCAUAACAAUUGUGUUUAAAGGAUUCCUUAAUUUACUUAAUUAGGACUUAAACCUUCGAAACGCAUGCACCAGAUAAAGACAACGGAGAAAAACUGUCAAACAAAAAUGUAAGCACAUACAUGUGAUGUUUGGUUUGUUUUUUUCCUUUCCCCGUUACGAUUUUCAAGUAGAAAACGAUAAACAAUUAUAUACAUAUACUCAGAGAGGAGAAGAAUCAGAGGAGAUAGAGAAAUAAGACCAUGAAUUACCUGCAUUUUACUUCAAUUUCAGCAGCAGCAGCUUCAACCUUCCCUCUCUGCAUUACCAACAUUGCAGUACUACUUCUUGCAGCUAUAUCGUCCUCGAUUUUUGCAUAUGUAGAAUUAUAAGAGAGACGGACAACCCACUUCCAACAACACCGAUAUUGUCCCCAACUUAUUAAUUACCACCUGCACAAUCCGUCAAGUAUAGGGUUUUAUCACAAAAGGCAUCGGUAUUAGUUGGAGUAGGAUUAAGAUAUUUAAACUCUUAUUUUCUCAUAAAAGAGCAACAUAGGAUAUUUCAACACGCUCCCUCACAUGGAACCCAAUUAGUGGGUCACACGUGAGAGAUCCACACAUCGGCAACUAUGCAGAGCCAAGGGGACUUACCCUACACACGGGGCCAAGGGACCCACCAUCAUCGCACGAGGCCAAUGAAACCCACCCAUCACGUGGCAGUACUGCCCGCUCCCUAACUCUGAUACCAUGUAAAAUUAUAUAAUUAUUAGAACGACAGGCCAAAUACCUACUUCCAACAACACAAAUAUUGUUCUCAACUUGAUAAUUAAUUACCAAGUGCACAUCAAGUGUGGGGUUUUAUCACAAAAUGCCUUAGUGUUUGAUGAAGUGGGGUUAUGAUAUUUAAACUCUUCUUUUCUUAGAGAUACAGUCGAUAUGGGAUACCACGUGGAGCCAAGGCGACUAACAAACGAAAUAUACUAUGAAUAUUAUUGAUUAAACGAGAUUGCUGAGACGGCUAUAAUCGAACAACUACAUCUUGACGGCUUGUUCUAAGUAAAUAACAGGCAUUCUAUUUAUAAUAAACUAAAUCUUAAUCUCUAACAAAACCUAAUUCAAACGGGCUGAGCCUAUGUCCUAAAUUCAUUAUUUUCCAACAAUUUUUUCGUCACUCAUGCAGUCCACGGUUACAUUCAUAUGCAUAUUGAGUGCUUGCAGUCGGAUGGGUUUGGUGGAUUCGGGACUGCGAGUCUUUGAAAGUAUAACACUGAUACAACCCGAGGUACAGCACUGUGGUUGUUUGGUGGAUUUACUAGGACAAGCUGGUAUGCUAGAAGAGGCAAAGAAAGCAGUGAGAAAGAUGCACGUGGAACCAGACUCGGAAAUCUUUUGUUGCAUUGCUCAAUGCCUAUGGAGUUCAUGGAUAUGUUGAGUUAUAAAAAGAAAUGGUCGAGCGUUUGUCUAGGAAAAGUUUAGAGCACAGUGGAAUGCAUGUUCUUCUUCCAAACAUGUACGCCUCCACCAACCAGUGGGACGAUGUGGUUCGCAGUACUUGCUUUAUGCCUUUCCUUCUUACUUUCCUGAGCGAGGAAGGGAAUCGCUACUUCGGAUGCGGCUGUCAGAUAGGACAUCGGGAAGAACAUAUCACAAUGCUGAGUAAAUGGAGGAGAAAAUGGUGAGAAAGGUUCCGGGAUGUAGCUCAGUCGAAGCCAAUGGCGAGGUUUUUGAGUUUGUCGCUGGAGAUUUGUCGCAUGUGUUCAUGGACGAUAUCAUGUUGGUGUCGCUUCCGAUUGAUAAGCAUUUGAAGUCUCAUUGGUUUGAUAGGGAUGUGACACACUAACUGAAUACCUUGAGUUUUAGCAGAGAGUUGGUUUUCGUACUCGAUGCCAAAGAGGAAAGUUUAAACCUUAGGAUGUCUAACAUUUGGUCGAUGUCUCUGAAGGAUUGCCAUAGCAGGUAAUUUCAAAAAUCAAAGAAACCAAAAUUUGUCAACAACUUGGAUGUUGCACCGUUGAAAUUGAGCAUGCUGUUGUCGAAGCCGGAGAGUUUGCUUCUUGAUUCGCAGACGAAGCGAGAGGUCGUGGGGGUGGUUGUAUGGAUGUCACUAUUAGCUCUUAUAAAUGACUGGUCCACCAUGGACCGUCGCGUGUCAGCUUUACAUUGGUGAUGACUUAAGCCUGCAACUAGCUUUAUAAGCCAAGAUUUGUACGUGGUUCUUGUGUACUCGGGGGUUUAACAGUGAUUGGGCGGUGGCUCACAAUGGUUAUUGGUGACAGUGGAUUUGGGUUCACGGUCGAUGGAGAGAGAGGGGCAGAGGCAGCAAGCCUCGGGGUUCUUGGGGUUUAGAUUUCGUUGUGCAGUGGAGGGUUGGGACAUGGACAACUCUUACAUUGUGUUCCAAAGACGAAAAUGCAAUUCAGCAAUAAUCUGGCAGAGUGCUUUUCGUACUCCCUUUUCCCCCCUGCUUAGAGCACUUCCAGCGUGUGCUCUCCCCCGAGGGACAGGCCCGUGAACAGUGGCAGAGAGCCCGAGCAACCAAUCCCAAAGUGUGCUGGCGAUGGAGCCCGAGCGGGUUCGAGGGAGAGGCCCGGCACGAGUUGUCAGCCCGAGAGCCCGAAGGCUAACGUGGGCUGAUGUUAGCCAUAAUAUAAAAUUAUUAAAAAUAUAAAAUAUUAAUACAAAAAUAAAAAAAUUGUAAAACCCAGGCUUCGAACUCAACGGCUCUCGCCGAAGUUCGUCGCCGAGGUUGAUGAACACCCACAAACAAAUGACAGAGAUCCAGUCCCUCCUCCGCCGCAGCUACCGCCGCACCCCAAACCGCCUUCGCCCCCACGGACUCGUGAUCCUCCUCCUUCCACUGGCGUGCCCAGAUCGCAUGAUUUGGGAUUUGUUUUUAGGGGAAAGAGGAGAGAGAGAGAGUUUGGUUAGGGAGCAGGGAAGAUCGAGACCGUUGAUGGAGGUUGAGGUGGGUGGGAUGGUGAAGAUGGAGGAAGAGAUGCGGCUGCGGGGUGGUGAAGAUGGAGGAACAGAGGCAAUGAGGGUUUGGGUGCGUUGGGGGGAUGGGGGAAGGGGGACACAGGUUGAAAAGAAAGGGUUUGGGUGCUUUUGGAAUGGUGCGUUGGCACCAUGUGAAAAGAAGAAAAAUGAUUUUGGAAUGGUGUGCUGCACCACGUGAAAAGAAAAAAUAAAAAUAAUAAAAACAAUUUUUUAAUAGAAAAUAGCACAACGAGAUCGAUUAAAAAUUAUAUCCGAAAUUACAAAUAAAAUUAUUUUGUAUUAUUUAAAAAAAAAAACUAAUAUUUUAUUAUCUAUUGUCAUGGCUAUUGAAGUGCAACGGUGGAGAUGCAAAAUGAGAUUACUACUGUUCAUUAAGGACAGUUACUGUUCACUAGAUGGAUAGCAUAGUGUAUUGCCUGGCGGGAGGGUUCCCUCGCUGGAACUGCCUGUGAUUUAUGAAGUAACUCUAUAUUGUUCCUCACAUACAAAUUCAUAUCAGAAAUAUCACCUGGAAGAGUGAAACUCACGGACACCACGAUUACUUGCAAGAGGAAGGCUAACCGAUUACACCAGUCUAGCUAACAAGUACCUUCCACAAUUGUCGAUUAUUAGAGCUAUCAUCUGCCUUCACAAUGGUCACAACUCAACCUCUCCAUUUAUAGUUCACCUGCAACCCAUAACCCAUCUCUAAUGACCUAACAAUUUGUUGUUAAUUCGACACCAUAACCCAACUAACCCGACAACUAUCUACCACAUACCGCCAAUCAAUUACCGUGUUCCAACCUAUAUAAGACUCUAAUUUGUUCAAUAUUUGCUACAAUUUAAAUAACCCCCAUAAACACCUCUAUUAAGCAUUCGUAGUUAUGAACCACCACCUCCCAUUAUUAAACUGCCCUCAUAUCCUGUAACUCCCUAGUUCAUUCUCUAUCACUAAGUGAAGGCUCACUGCAAACACAUUAAGACGCUCAUCUAUCACCUAUGAAUUGAUAAAUCAAACAAUCCAAUCUAUUGAGGUAACAUAUUCUUCGCAAUUUGAAUUAUGCUAUCUGACUCAUCCAGAUCUUCCCAAUCAUAGUCCUAACAACCACUAAAUAACCCAGCCAGCUAUAGAUCAUAUGUUUCAAAUAUAAUGUAAUUUUUCAUACGAAACAAAGAUAGAAAAUGUACAUUUGCCACCAAAAACAAGGGCAAAAACCCAAUCAUGUAAGUGGUAACAACAAAAUGUUCAAGAACAACUGAAUUCAUCACAGCAACUACCCAAUGGGUAUCAAUAGAGAGAGCCCACAACAUUUAUACCAUGAAAAACAGUUACGCAGUGGUGUAGCAACAUGAAGCUGAAGGAAAGACAAUAAACCAGGAACACAUUCAUGGGUGGGAAAUUGAAACUUAGGGACAUUUCAAAAAACCCGACCAUCCCCAAUUCUUAUGAAGAAUGCCAAUUCCGUAGAAGGCUAAAACAGUCAACAAAACCCCCUAGAAGAAGUUACGUUCUAGCAGUAAGGGUUUCAUGCUCAACAUCUUCAGUGUAUUUACAGGCAUUAUGCAUAUGCAUGUUCAGUGUCCAUCCAUCGGCAGCAUCAAUACAAUUGCGUGCAUAUAUAACGAAUACGAAAUACAACAACAUUUCAAAUGUGUCAUAUCUGGAUAAACUGUAUAGGAAAAGAGUGAGAGGACAAUAAUUAAGUAGUAAUUCGAUAAAUACAGACCACGGCGUACGAUUUAAGCUUAUUUUAUCACCAAACCACAACACAGUCACAAACUUCUCAUCAUCCAAGGGCCACAUUUUUUUAAUUAUAAGGUAUUUAUGGAAUUACCAACUUGCCAUCAUCAUGACGCUAUUCACACUGCGGCGGCGGCGGCUUCCUUGACUGUAGACUGUGGUGGGGAAACGGAGUCAGCGGUCACCUCCGGAAUCUUGACAUAACCCACCUUCUUCGGGCUGAAGUCUUUGAAAUCGUCAUCGAAAGAGCUGGAGCCGCUGUCGUCGUGGCGACUGAUGAAGACGGACCAAGCCAGGUACAUAGUGGCGGCGGUGAGCGCGCCGCAGCCAACGCCGAAAAGCAGCGAAACGACGACGCUCAUGAUGUCCUUGGUGCGAUCGCGCAGGGAGCUGAGGUCGUAGGACGACGACGAAGAAGCCGUUCCGAUGAAGGGAAAGAGCGGUGCCGUCUGAGUCCGCUUCUCGCUGUCGUGGUGGUGGUUGUGGUGGUGUGGAACGAAGACGUCUUCUGAGCGGGCAGGGUGGAUGUGGACGGGGCGGAGCUGGCCGAUUUCGGUGACGACGGUGACGAAGCCGGAGGAGGAAGAGGAGGAGGGGAGACGGCGGAGGGAGAAGGAGUAGGAGGAAACGAAGAGGGUUUUGCAGGGCCUUGAUGCGGUGGCGGAGAUGGCGAAGAGGGACAGGGUGAGGAGGGCAAUGAGGAGGAGGGGUCGUUGACUUGUUGACGCCAUGGAUUUACCUGCACAGAGGAAAAGGGAGAGCCUCUCGUUCUUUCAAGUUUCAAUUGGCAAUUUAGGGAUUUUGAGCAAGUCUCUGUGGCACCAAAUUACCUACUUAUAUUGCCCUCAACAAGUCUAAAUAAUUACAUCAUAUUAAAAUUUGAUUAAUU